rnacentral:lncRNA from 1 species
CGAACCUGCAAACCCCAUGCCGCGAAUCGAAGUGCACAAACUUAACCACUACACCACGGGGUGGCCCCUGUUGCCACCUAUUUUUAAUAGGCACUUGGGCUCUGACAAGCUGAUUACUCACUGCUGCUUUGUUUGAGGUGUCAAAACACUGGAAACGUCGGGAUGGAGCUACAGACUUAGAAUUCAACAUCUAGAGAUGGUUGUUGAGGUCGAGAAAGUGGAUACAGUCACCAAGGGAAAGAGUACAGGGAAGAAUGGAGACGUGGAGGCCACCUUAUGAAAUAUCUCCACCUCAGACAUAGUAGGAAAAAGAAAAUAUGCCAGUGGUGGGAAAAAAGAAGUUGCCAUCAAAGAGGCUGGCAAAGAAUUAGGAGAGUGAGUGUCAGGGUAGGGGCCAGAAUCCACAAGAAGGUUGUGUUCCACAGCCAAGGAGUGACAGCAGGACAAGAGCUGCUAUCGUAAGACACCGGUGGACAUACUCGCAUCAGUGCAGUGGGGCCAAAGCUGGUCUGUAGGAAGCGAGAGAGGAGAGGCCCCCAGCUCUCUACAAGGACCCGAGACUCCGUGCUCUGGUUUCCCUUCUCCCUCUCCGUCUUCGACCUGGGAGUGGUGUUGAAGAUGGCUUGGAAGAAGUGGAGCUUGAAGUCGCUUCAGACUGCUGGAAGGGAUGUCAUACUUCAACAAAAAGCUUACUUUAAAAAGAAGCCAUGGGGUGGCUGGCCCCGUGGCCGAGUGGUUGGGUUUGCACGCUCUGCUGCAGGCAGCCCAGUAUUUCAUUGGUUUGAAUCCUGGGCACAGACAUGGCACUGCUCAUCAAGCCACACUGAGGCGGCAUCCCACAUGCCACAACUGGAAGGACCCUCAACGAAGAAUAUUCAACUAUGUACUGGGGGGCUUUGGGGAG